rnacentral:SRP_RNA from 1 species
UCCCCGAGUGACGGAACCGUCUGAACCUCCCCAGGGCCGGAAGGCAGCAAGGAUAAGGGCGCUCUUCCGGGUGCUCGGGG